UGUUUAUGAUAUUAGAGUUGUGUCAUCCAACUCUCAAGAGACUCAAGCAUCAUCGGAUCACAUGGUUUCUUCACAUUCCUACAAAAGGAAACAUAAUGAAGUACCAAGUACAAGUGGAGGCAAAGGCAAAGAGAAGGAAUUGAAUUUGACACCAAUUGAUGAAGAUUAAGAUUUAUAUGAAAUGAGAAUACAUGAUAGUAGACAUUUUCCUACUAUUGAUACAUUGGAUGAGGAUGAUGAUGACCUUGGAGAGGAAGAUUUAAGUUGAAACAAUUUACUCUAGUUGUUAUUUCAUGACUUAGUUAUGGAUUUUUUGUAAAAGUUUAGAACUAUUAUUAUGGUUGACUCUAUUUUCUAUUUCA